rnacentral:rRNA from 1 species
GUAAAGUUAAUACCUUUGCUCUUUGACGUUACCCGCAGAGGAAGCACCGGCUAACUCCGUGCCAGCAGCCGCGGUAAUACGGAGGGUGCAAGCGUUAAUCGGAAUUACUGUGCGUAAAGCGCACGCAGGCGGUUUGUUAAGUCAGAUGUGAAAUCCCCGGGCUCAGCCUGGGAGACUGCAUCUUGAUACUGGCCAAGCUUGAGUCUCGUAGAGGGGGGUAGAAUUCCAGGUGUAGCGGUGAAAUGCGUAGAGAUCUGGAGGAAAUACCGGUGGCGAAGGCGGCCCCCUGUACGAAGACUGACGCUCAGGU